CACACACACACACACACACACACUGAAUGAUCUGUUUAUUAUGGUUUAUGGCAGGAAAUAUCAUGAGACCCAGGCAGAGGAAUGUCAUGAAGCUAAAGCAAAUACAAGCAGUAAAGGUGUGUAAGUGACUGACGCACGAGCUCCCAGCAGCCCUUGCACCAUGUUUACCAAUUCAGAGGUGGGACAGAUGACCAAUAAUGGCAUUUCCACUGAUAACAGUGAUUUUCUCCCGCCAAUAACACGCGUGACAGAAGUAAUCAGUCAAAGAGGAAACGAGGUUUCGGUCUGACAUCUGCAGACUCCCACAAACACUUCCCGGGGUCAAAGGUCACACGGAGCAAAGUAAGAGUGAAAAACUGAAGCGUAGCCACAUCAUUGUUCUACCUCUCCUGCUUCAGCAAAGCUGCGUGCUGAGGGACAGGAUCAGGACGCAGGGAUCACUGGGAAUAAAUCUGCUUUCUUUAACCACUUACACAACACUGCAGUCCGAUCUACAACAAACGAUUACAAGAUACUCUAGAUGGAUUCCACACACUUCAGCACUGGUCACUUCAUAGACACCCAUCAGUGAAUAUUUGUGAGAACUCGGCGUAUCGCUAUAGUAUCCCAGCAUGCUCAGGGUCACUCCUGUCCGUCAUGCACAGAUGACCUCAGUCUCAAGGAGAAGAAAAGAGAUAUCAGAGUCAUGAGAGCAGAGUUUACAGAAGACAUGCCACUGUGACUCUGCACUUUCCAAUGAAAGAUCUUUCACAAUGUGUGUGCUGUCUGCUUCAGACGGUCAAUGAAAGAGGACAGGGCAGUCACACAGGUGUAGAUCAACAGGUGAGAGCGAUCGAUC